ncrna:Peptostreptococcus anaerobius VPI 4330 = DSM 2949 RAGATH-18 RNA
UCUAUGGAGAGUACAAGAACUUGUGAGUAGUAUCUGGAUUUGUUCAGUAUGAAAGCAUGCUCGAUGAAGUAGGAA